GAGUGGGACAGAUCUUUUGGAAUUUGUCUAGUGGGGUUUUCACAACACUGCACUGGAAAACUCCCCC